rnacentral:miRNA from 1 species
UCGCCUUCCCUUCCCGCCCUUC